rnacentral:rRNA from 1 species
UUGCUUUAUUGUCAGCUAAGUGGCGCACGGGUGAUUAAUAUAUAGGUAACGUGCCUUCAAUAAGGGGAUAACAAUUGGAAACGAUUGCUAAAACCCUAUAUGCCUUUAAGACUUAAGUCUGCAAGGGAAAUAUUUAUAGCUUGAAGAUCGGCCUGUACAGUAUCAGUUAUUUGGUGAGGUAAUGGCUCACCAAGACAAUGACGCUUAACUGGUUUGAGAGGAUGAUCAGUCACACUGGAACUGAGACACGGUCCAGACUCCUACGGGAGGCAGCUUUGGGGAAUAUUGCACAAUGGACGAAAGUCUGAUGCAGCAACGCCGCGUGGAGGAUGACACAUUUCGGUGCGUAAACUCCUUUUUUAUAGGAAGAUAAUGACGGUACUAUAUGAAUAAGCACCGGCUA